UAGAUAUCAGGAGGAACACCAGUGGCGAAGGCGGCCUUCUGGUCCGGAAUUGACGCUGAGGUACUAAAGCGUGGGUAGCAAACAGGAUUAGAUACCCUGGUAGUCCACGCCCUAAACGAUGGAUACUUGAUGUCGGGAUGUUCGGUCGUCUCGGUGUCGUAGCUAACGUGUUAAGUAUCCCGCCUGGGGACUACGGUCGCAAGACUGAAACUCAAAGGAAUUGACGGGGGCCCGCACCAGCGGUGGAACAUGUGGUUUAAUUCGGUGCAACGCGAAGAACCUUACCUGGGCUUGACAUAUAUAUGAAGUAUGUAAGAAAUUAUGUAUUCUGUUUGUUUUUUCAGACAGCAUAUAUACAGGUGAUGCAUGGCUGUCGUCAGCUCGUGUCGUGAGAUGUAGGGUUAAGUCCCUUAACGAGCGCAACCCUUGCUUUUAGUUGCCAUCAGGUAAUGCUGGGGACUCUAGAAGGACUGCCGAGGUUAACUCGGAGGAAGGUGGGGAUGACGUCAAGUCAGUAUGUCCCUUAUGUCCAGGGCUACACACGUGUUACAAUGGACGGUACAGAGUGCAGCUACGCCGUGAGGCUACGCAAAUCACUUAAAGCCGUUCCCAGUUCGGAUUGGAGUCUGCAAUUCGACUCCAUGAAGUUGGAAUCGCUAGUAAUCGCAGAACAGCAUGCUGCGGUGAUACGUUCCCGGGCCUUGUACACACCGCCCGUCACGCCAUGGAAGUUGGGAGUACCCAAAGUUGCUGUCUAUACGGUGGAGGUAACUAAGGUAAGACCGAUGACUGGGGCGAAGUC
rnacentral:rRNA from 1 species